rnacentral:ncRNA from 1 species
GACAAGGGGAAUCCGACUGUCUAAUUAAAACAAAACAUUGCGAUGGCCCUCAAGAGUGUUGACGCAAUGUGCUUUCUCAGUGCUCUGAAUAUCAACGUGAAGAAAUUCAAGCAAGCGCGGGUAAAUGGCGGGAGUAACUAUGACUCUCUUAAUUCCUUUUGGCUCUCGGGAUUUCUCGCUCUCCUGGAUCCUUGAUACCCUCUUUUUGGAGGAUUCUUUGGAUCCGGGGUCGGAGCGGGCUCGCCCAAAUAUAAAUAGUCACAGUAGGGACGAUGACGCGCAAUACAGACCUCCUAGCAGGUCAUUAAGCCUCUCUCGUUCAGUCACACGUCUACCUCCUGGACCCCUGCGGUUGCGCAGGGUGGCAAAAUAGUGUUAUAACAAUGUGCGCCCCUAAGGGCUUACAAAUGGUCAAAUGCCCCAUCAUCUAAUUAGUGACGCGCAUGAAUGAAUUAACGAGAUUCCC